rnacentral:siRNA from 1 species
ACAUCAGUUGUCAUCUGCACCUA